rnacentral:rRNA from 1 species
UGCCAGCAGCCGCGGUAAUACGGAGGGGGCCAGCGUUGUCCGGAUUUACUGGGUGUAAAGGGCGCGCAGGCGGAUUUGUCAGUCAGGGGUGAAAUCCUACCGCUCAACGGUAGAACUGCCUUUGAUACUGGCAAACUUGAGUUAUUGUGAAGUAGUUAGAAUGUGUAGUGUAGCGGUGAAAUGCAUAGAUAUUACACAGAAUACCAAUUGCGAAGGCAGAUUACUAACAAUUAACUGACGCUGAGGGACGAAAGCGUGGGUAGCGAACAGGAUUAGAUA